UUAAGCGACUAAGCGUACACGGUGGAUGCCCUGGCAGUCAGAGGCGAUGAAGGACGUGCUAAUCUGCGAUAAGCGUCGGUAAGGUGAUAUGAACCGUUAUAACCGGCGAUUUCCGAAUGGGGAAACCCAGUGUGUUUCGACACACUAUCAUUAACUGAAUCCAUAGGUUAAUGAGGCGAACCGGGGGAACUGAAACAUCUAAGUACCCCGAGGAAAAGAAAUCAACCGAGAUUCCCCCAGUAGCGGCGAGCGAACGGGGAGCAGCCCAGAGCCUGAAUCAGUGUGUGUGUUAGUGGAAGCGUCUGGAAAGGCGCGCGAUACAGGGUGACAGCCCCGUACACAAAAAUGCACAUGCUGUGAGCUCGAUGAGUAGGGCGGGACACGUGGUAUCCUGUCUGAAUAUGGGGGGACCAUCCUCCAAGGCUAAAUACUCCUGACUGACCGAUAGUGAACCAGUACCGUGAGGGAAAGGCGAAAAGAACCCCGGCGAGGGGAGUGAAAAAGAACCUGAAACCGUGUACGUACAAGCAGUGGGAGCCUCUUUAUGGGGUGACUGCGUACCUUUUGUAUAAUGGGUCAGCGACUUAUAUUCUGUAGCAAGGUUAACCGAAUAGGGGAGCCGAAGGGAAACCGAGUCUUAACUGGGCGUUAAGUUGCAGGGUAUAGACCCGAAACCCGGUGAUCUAGCCAUGGGCAGGUUGAAGGUUGGGUAACACUAACUGGAGGACCGAACCGACUAAUGUUGAAAAAUUAGCGGAUGACUUGUGGCUGGGGGUGAAAGGCCAAUCAAACCGGGAGAUAGCUGGUUCUCCCCGAAAGCUAUUUAGGUAGCGCCUCGUGAAUUCAUCUCCGGGGGUAGAGCACUGUUUCGGCAAGGGGGUCAUCCCGACUUACCAACCCGAUGCAAACUGCGAAUACCGGAGAAUGUUAUCACGGGAGACACACGGCGGGUGCUAACGUCCGUCGUGAAGAGGGAAACAACCCAGACCGCCAGCUAAGGUCCCAAAGUCAUGGUUAAGUGGGAAACGAUGUGGGAAGGCCCAGACAGCCAGGAUGUUGGCUUAGAAGCAGCCAUCAUUUAAAGAAAGCGUAAUAGCUCACUGGUCGAGUCGGCCUGCGCGGAAGAUGUAACGGGGCUAAACCAUGCACCGAAGCUGCGGCAGCGACGCUUAUGCGUUGUUGGGUAGGGGAGCGUUCUGUAAGCCUGUGAAGGUGUGCUGUGAGGCAUGCUGGAGGUAUCAGAAGUGCGAAUGCUGACAUAAGUAACGAUAAAGCGGGUGAAAAGCCCGCUCGCCGGAAGACCAAGGGUUCCUGUCCAACGUUAAUCGGGGCAGGGUGAGUCGACCCCUAAGGCGAGGCCGAAAGGCGUAGUCGAUGGGAAACAGGUUAAUAUUCCUGUACUUGGUGUUACUGCGAAGGGGGGACGGAGAAGGCUAUGUUGGCCGGGCGACGGUUGUCCCGGUUUAAGCGUGUAGGCUGGUUUUCCAGGCAAAUCCGGAAAAUCAAGGCUGAGGCGUGAUGACGAGGCACUACGGUGCUGAAGCAACAAAUGCCCUGCUUCCAGGAAAAGCCUCUAAGCAUCAGGUAACAUCAAAUCGUACCCCAAACCGACACAGGUGGUCAGGUAGAGAAUACCAAGGCGCUUGAGAGAACUCGGGUGAAGGAACUAGGCAAAAUGGUGCCGUAACUUCGGGAGAAGGCACGCUGAUAUGUAGGUGAAGUCCCUCGCGGAUGGAGCUGAAAUCAGUCGAAGAUACCAGCUGGCUGCAACUGUUUAUUAAAAACACAGCACUGUGCAAACACGAAAGUGGACGUAUACGGUGUGACGCCUGCCCGGUGCCGGAAGGUUAAUUGAUGGGGUUAGCGGUAACGCGAAGCUCUUGAUCGAAGCCCCGGUAAACGGCGGCCGUAACUAUAACGGUCCUAAGGUAGCGAAAUUCCUUGUCGGGUAAGUUCCGACCUGCACGAAUGGCGUAAUGAUGGCCAGGCUGUCUCCACCCGAGACUCAGUGAAAUUGAACUCGCUGUGAAGAUGCAGUGUACCCGCGGCAAGACGGAAAGACCCCGUGAACCUUUACUAUAGCUUGACACUGAACAUUGAGCCUUGAUGUGUAGGAUAGGUGGGAGGCUUUGAAGUGUGGACGCCAGUCUGCAUGGAGCCGACCUUGAAAUACCACCCUUUAAUGUUUGAUGUUCUAACGUUGACCCGUAAUCCGGGUUGCGGACAGUGUCUGGUGGGUAGUUUGACUGGGGCGGUCUCCUCCUAAAGAGUAACGGAGGAGCACGAAGGUUGGCUAAUCCUGGUCGGACAUCAGGAGGUUAGUGCAAUGGCAUAAGCCAGCUUGACUGCGAGCGUGACGGCGCGAGCAGGUGCGAAAGCAGGUCAUAGUGAUCCGGUGGUUCUGAAUGGAAGGGCCAUCGCUCAACGGAUAAAAGGUACUCCGGGGAUAACAGGCUGAUACCGCCCAAGAGUUCAUAUCGACGGCGGUGUUUGGCACCUCGAUGUCGGCUCAUCACAUCCUGGGGCUGAAGUAGGUCCCAAGGGUAUGGCUGUUCGCCAUUUAAAGUGGUACGCGAGCUGGGUUUAGAACGUCGUGAGACAGUUCGGUCCCUAUCUGCCGUGGGCGCUGGAGAACUGAGGGGGGCUGCUCCUAGUACGAGAGGACCGGAGUGGACGCAUCACUGGUGUUCGGGUUGUCAUGCCAAUGGCACUGCCCGGUAGCUAAAUGCGGAAGAGAUAAGUGCUGAAAGCAUCUAAGCACGAAACUUGCCCCGAGAUGAGUUCUCCCUGACUCCUUGAGAGUCCUGAAGGAACGUUGAAGACGACGACGUUGAUAGGCCGGGUGUGUAAGCGCAGCGAUGCGUUGAGCUAACCGGUACUAAUGAACCGUGAGGCUUAACCUU
rnacentral:rRNA from 1 species